AGAGUUUGAUUAUGGYUYAAAACGAACGCUGGCGGCAGGCUUAACACAUGCAAGUCGAGCGCCCCGCAAGGGGAGCGGCAGACGGGUGAGUAACGCGUGGGAAUCUACCUAUCUCUACGGAACAACUCCGGGAAACUGGAGCUAAUACCGUAUACGCCCUUAGGGGGAAAGAUUUAUCGGGGAUAGAUGAGCCCGCGUUGGAUUAGCUAGUUGGUGGGGUAAUGGCCUACCAAGGCGACGAUCCAUAGCUGGUCUGAGAGGAUGAUCAGCCACACUGGGACUGAGACACGGCCCAGACUCCUACGGGAGGCAGCAGUGGGGAAUAUUGGACAAUGGGCGAAAGCCUGAUCCAGCCAUGCCGCGUGAGUGAUGAAGGCCCUAGGGUUGUAAAGCUCUUUCACCGGUGAAGAUAAUGACGGUAACCGGAGAAGAAGCCCCGGCUAACUUCGUGCCAGCAGCCUAGCGUAAUACGAAGGGGGCUAGCGUUGUUCGGAAUUACUGGGCGUAAAGCGCACGUAGGCGGAUACUUAAGUUAGGGGUGAAAUCCCGAGGCUCAACCUCGGAACUGCCUUUWAUACUGGGUAUCUCGAGUCCCGAGAGAGGUGAGKUGGAAUUCCCGAGUGUAGAGGUGAAAUUHGUUAGAUUAUUCGGGAGGRCMACCAGUGGC
rnacentral:rRNA from 2 species